rnacentral:rRNA from 1 species
AGAGCUCAAAUUUGAAAUCUGGCGGUCUUUGGCCGUCCGAGUUGUAAUCUAGAGAGGUGUUUUCCGUGCCGGACCACGUACAAGUCCCUUGGAACAGGGCGUCAUAGAGGGUGAGAAUCCCGUCCGUGACGUGGACUACCGGUGCUCUGUGAUACACCUUCGAAGAGUCGAGUUGUUUGGGAAUGCAGCUCAAAAUGGGUGGUAAAUUCCAUCUAAAGCUAAAUACAGGCGAGAGACCGAUAGCGAA